rnacentral:rRNA from 1 species
GACGAACGCUGGCGGCGUGCCUAAUACAUGCAAGUUGAGCGCUGAAGGUUGGUACUUGUACCAACUGGAUGAGCAGCGAACGGGUGAGUAACGCGUGGGGAAUCUGCCUUUGAGCGGGGGACAACAUUUGGAAACGAAUGCUAAUACCGCAUAAAAACUUUAAACACAAGUUUUAAGUUUGAAAGAUGCAAUUGCAUCACUCAAAGAUGAUCCCGCGUUGUAUUAGCUAGUUGGUGAGGUAAAGGCUCACCAAGGCGAUGAUACAUAGCCGACCUGAGAGGGUGAGCGGCCACAUUGGGACGGAGACACGGCCCAAACUCCUACGGGAGGCAGCAGUAGGGAAUCUUCGGCAAUGGACGAAAGUCUGACCGAGCAACGCCGCGUGAGUGAAGAAGGUUUUCGGAUCGGAAAACUCUGUUGGUAGAGAAGAACGUUGGUGAGAGUGGAAAGCUCAUCAAGUGACGGUAACUACACAGAAAGGGACGGCUAACUACGUG